UACAGAGGGUGCGAGCGUUGUCCGGAAUCACUGGGCGUAAAGGGCGCGUAGGCGGGGAGGUAAGUCGGGUGUGAAAUCCCUCGGCCCAACCGAGGAACUGCGCCCGAGACUGCUUCUCUUGAGUCCCGGAGAGGAAGAUGGAAUUCCCGGUGUAGCGGUGAAAUGUGUAGAGAUCGGGAGGAACACCGGUGGCGAAGGCGGUCUUCUGGACGGUGACUGACGCUGAGGCGCGAAAGCGUGGGGAGCAAACGGG
rnacentral:rRNA from 1 species